UAGAUGAUUAUUGGUUUGCUUUUUGAGUUGUCUUCCAUAUUCUUUGGAAAAUGAGCUUCAUGAGGACCAGGACUUUGUUUAUUUCUUCCCUAGGUCUCCAGGGCCCAGUAAAUUUCUUGGUACAUAGUAGAUGCUUCAUAGGUGACUAUGGGAUUAAUGAAUGUCGUUCUCACUGGCCUGUGAGGCCUGGUGUGUGGGGAACCAUGUAAGAUUUUUAGCGCAUGCUCAAAGAAGCAUUCAGCAUUUUCUUUUUUUUUUUUGGUGGUGGUGGUGUGUGUAUAUGGGGGGAGUUUGCUGUUAGUUCCUCACAAAUCCAUCUCAAACAGUACAACCGAAUAAAUCUUCCUAAAUUACAUUUUAUUCUUCAUUGCCUAUGUGAAGCCUCAGGUGAUUUCUCACCCACAGGAUGAAUUUCUGGAUUCUGCGUGUUGAAUUUGCUUGACCAAUAUUCUUGGAAUCCAGAGCUUCUGUGAUCUGAUCUUCUCUACUCAUCUUUCUCCCCUUCUCAGCUCCAACAAGAACCCUGAGCUCCACAGGAAGGAACUGAAUUAUUCUGCAAUGACAUCAGCUUGAAGGAAGACCCCCAAGAUCCAGAUGAGGAUGCAGCUCACCAGACAACUUGAUUUAUUAGCUUCACGAGAUCCCAAGUCACUGUGCCAGACAUCUGACUACAGAAGUGACCCACGAGGUAGAUUGUUAACUGUUCCCAUUGGAGGCAGCUUGCUUUGCAGCUCCACUGUCAGACGGUCAGAGCUGGUGAGUGCAAAAGCAGACUUGAAGCUUCACCUCUCUCAGGGGUGCUGCUGUCCUCACUCACAGUGGCUUCCUGUUGGGAGGGGAAACCCUGAGGGUAUGUAUCAGAGUCUCUGGGAUGAGGGGUCUGGGGGCCAGCACCUUCUCCAGCUGAGCUCACACAAGAGGGCCCGUUAGUAUGGAAAACAAACAAAAUGUGGUCUCUGUUCUAGAUGUUUCUGCAGUGUCUCCCCAGGAGCCCUCAGUCAAUAUCAGGGCUCUAAAAGCUGGAUUAAGGACUCGAAGAGACAUUCUUAGAUUGUCUUGGUUUGGUUUGGGAAACAUGAAGUUCAGAAUCUCAACUCCGGUUAAGGAUUCCCAAGGGUGGAGUCAGAGAGUCAGGUGUAAUUACAGGUAAGGGUCUGGGACCGCUGACUAGCUGGGACCAAGCUAUUGAAAACGUGCCUCAUUUUCUCCAUCUGUAAAGGGAGGGGAAUUGAGUGUCUACCUCCAAAGAAAUGUAGUGGGCGUUAACUGAAUUAAUAGACAUAAUGCUUGGCAUGCUGUGAGCACCCGGCUAAAUGCUAGCUGUAGUUAAUUUAGGCUGACUGCCUGAUGUCUCCCAGACCUCAGGCCUAGGCCAAUGUGCACGGUUGUCCGUUGGGCAGACAUGCAGGUUGGGGAGAUGAGAGUGGGAGUAGAGAGAAGGGUCUGGAAUAGAGUCCCCCCCAUGACAGGCAGCCCAGGCUCUUCCUGUGCUUACUGCUGGCCUCUGCCCGAGCUGGCGCCUGUCUGCUCAGUAACACAGCAGACCCACUCUCUUCCUGGGGAGGCGCACAGAAGAAUGACUGAUCGUCUGGGCUCUUGAGCGGGUGUGCUGAAGUGAGGGCCACGCCAGCUUGAGUCACGUGGCAAAUUUCAGCACCACUCCUGGAGCCCACCCUGUCCUACAGACAAGGACUCAGCCGUGACUCACUGUGUGGAGGUGAGGCCUGCGCCUUAGUCACCUGGUGCCCCUUCCUGCAACACCUGAGCAUCAGCAUGCACAGCCUGCACCAAGCUCUCGUAUCCUUCCUCAUCUCUUUUCUCCUUUUCAUCCUCUUUUCCUCCUUUCCUCGCUCCUUAUCCGUUGACAUCUCAUUGAUCAGAUCUUGACUGAUCUCGUUAGCAACUUGGAUCGUUUAGGUCCGACAGAUGGAUAAUGGAGACAGUAUCUUCCUAUGCCACUCCUCUCCUUGUCAGAGACACUGCCAGGAACGCUGAUGAGCAGGCAGAGGAGGAGCCUGCCUGCAUUGGCAUGGGGGCAGUUCUGUCAUCUGAGGGAAGCUGCCUCAAAAAACGACCCCUAACCCCCGCAGCUGACUGAUGUAUGAAUUACUACAAUACUAUUAGCUAUUCAUUCUAGCGACCGAAAGCCCAGACUGUGCCCUCUGAGAGUGAACUACAUUUAACAAGGGCACAGAGACUCAUUAACCAUAUCAGUGAUCUACUCUUCAUCGUGAAUUCAUUCAUUCUACAUAUGUCAUACACCUAAUAUGCUCCAGGAGUUAUUUCUAGGCAGUUAAGAACUAGUAGUGAACAAAGUGGACAAAAAAUCUCUGCCUUCUUGGACACCACAUUGUGGUGGAGGGAGACAGAAAAUAAGCAUGAUAGAUAGGCAAGUUACAGAGUUAGUUAGAAGGAGGUAAGUGUUGAAAAUAAAACCCCACAAAACCCCAACCCCAAAUCCCAACCUACCAAUAAUGUUGGGUAGGUGGGCUUGGGAGUACUGGGGUGAGGGACAAGAAUGGG